rnacentral:rRNA from 1 species
CAAUAGCGUAUAUUAACGUUGUUGCAGUUAAAAAGCUCGUAGUUGGAUUUCUGGAGGGAGCGUCGGCCCGUAUUUACGAGUGCGUGACGUCUCUGUCCAUCCUUGCGGGAAGGCACGGCAUUGAUUUGUUGUGUCGGAUCGCAUCAUCUACUGUGAAAAAAUUAGAGUGUUCAAAGCAGGCUUUCGCUUGAAUACAUUAGCAUGGAAUAAUAAGAUAGGACUUUGGUGCUAUUUUGUUGGUUGAGCCUAAAGUAAUGAUUAAUAGGGAUAGUUGGGGGCACCUGUAUUGCGUUGUCAGAGGUGAAAUUCUUGGAUUUACGCAAGACAAACAGCUGCGAAAGCGUCUGCCAAGGAUGUUUUCAUUA